CGCCGCUCUGUGUGUUUAUGUAUGAAGGUGAGGAAACAUCUCCAGCUGCUGCUCUGGUUCUGUUGGUGCUCCUGAUUAAAGAGGAGAGCUCAGCGCUGAAGAUGGAGUCUCAUCACAUCCAACAACUCCCUCGUUUGUUGGUCGACUGAGAAAGAAACUUCUCACGAGACAAACUGAAGUCUCCUGUCAGGCGCUGACCUCUGGUGGUCAAAGUUAUAAUGACCACAGCAAAGAAGGAAGUCAGGUGAUGCAGAAUACAGCGUGAGUGUGUUCAGGUCAGCUGACGUCCUUCAGCUCGUUAUUCUAACAGUUACAUCACUUCACUACAUCAGGAUGAAUCAGCUCUGACGUCUGUGAGGUGGAACGACUGAAGUGUGGAGGAUCUGAGGUCAGCUCGGUGACACAACGGCUUCAGGUCCUCGCUGGCAGUCAGUCUGUUCGAGGUCUUUAUCCCGAGUCAUCUCCGUCAUAUCGUCCUCAUCAUUCUGUGUCCUUUGUCAUAUAAUACAAACAGAAACAUCAUGUCUUCACUCCAGGUGUGAAAGAUGAAGAUUUGACAUCGACUGUCUGUAGUCAGUAUACAACCAUCAGUCUGAAAACGCUCCAGAACAAAAUGUUAGCAGCCUCCUGUUUGUGGACCGAGGCGUCUCCAGAUGAUGUGGUAGGAAGCGGUGAAGCUCCAAUAAAGACACUUCCACUUUUAAAGCUCUGGCAGAGGAAGACGUCUUCAGAUGAAAGAGUCGUCUCAGAGCCAGGUAGCAAUUACAGCGAGGAUGGCCCGAGUGAAGUAAAGCUCCACGUGUGACGCGUCACUUUAAUUAACUCCACAAACCUGGAAGCUGUUUAAAAAGCAGCCCGGUCACACGUGUGGGGAGGUGAGCAGCAGCAGGCUCACAGCAGGGCUUGAUGUGGUGGUUACUGAGCUGACGGCCACCCUCAGAGUGGAAACAUGAAUUAUACACAGACGCUGCUGCGCAUUCACAACAAGCACAACAACUAAUGGACUCUCCAACUCAAAGACUUGAGCUAAAUCCUUCUGACGAUUGAAAAUAAAAAAUGUCUUUUCUCCGAGAACACUUGACCGGUUCUCCACUGUAAGAUAUAACAGUGUUUUUAGUCAGUGAUGAUGAAAUAAAAGAAUGAGUGUGUAGUCGGGAUGUGUGUGAUGUGUCCUCGAUAAUGAUGUCAUCGAACCUGAUGGUUGUUAUAGUGACAGGACACCAAGAAGCCACAACACCAGGCAGAGUGGAAAACAUCACCAGACUCCCUUAACAGAUCUGCUAAUUUAACAAGUUGUUGUGUAGCGUAAAGCUUUAUAAACAUAAUGAAACUGUGUCUCUGACAGACUGUAAGUCAUUGUGUCCUUGUUGUAAAUUCAGCAUUAAAUAUAAUACAUGAAGCCAACUUUCAUCCACAACAUCACCAGACUCCCUCUACAAAUGUAGUGAUUUUAAGAGUUGUUGAGUUAAAACAAACUUUCUAACGUAGUGAAACUGUGUGUGUGACAGAUUGUAAGUCAUUGUGUCCUUGUUGUAAAUUCAGCAUUAAAUCUUUCAGCUGAAGUUGUUUGUCUCCUUGUAAAAAGUGUCAGUUUGUGGCAGCAUGUCUGUACCAGCCUGUCUGCUUCUGUGUCUAAAGUGCUAAAGUCUUACCUGCCAACAUUGAUCAGCUGUUUGAACACACUGUUUACACUGAUUUCACCAUUUACACUCCAUUUAUGAAAGAAGAAACAUGUUAUUGAUCUAAACAUGUCACAUGUUACAAAGACACUAAACAGUAACAAUAUAGGCUACUUCUUUGUCCCCGUGGAGAAAGUCCCCAGACUCCCUUAACAAAUGUGUCAGUUUAGUGAGUUGUUGAGUUGGAGACACUUUAUAAACUCUGUGAAACUCUGUCUCUGACUCAUUCUGCAUUAUUUGGACCUUCUUGUUAAUUCAGCAUUAACUAUUAAACAAUUAUAAUUUUUUUUCCUUGUAAUAAGUUGCUUUGUCGUGGCUGAAGCCUGCAGACUGUGAUUACAGCUGUAUGGAGACGUCUGAUGUUUUAAAUCAAGUCUUGAACGCUGCAGCUCUGUCUGACUGUGAAGCUCCAGAACUGUUCUGUGGACCACGACAGCUCCAGAACUGUUCUGUGGACCACGACAGCUCCAGAACUGUUCUGUGGACCGCGACACUGUGAAGAUGGAUUUCUGUAUGUUUCCGUGCUGCCAGUUUUUAUUGAUGUAGUUAACAAACCUCGACACUAACAUUCUUAACCCCGCCCACAACACUCUGAUUGGCUGACCCCCCCACACACACACACACACACACACAAACACACACACACACACACACACUUCAUCUGCUGCCUCUCAGCACCAACAAUGUCCUCAUCCAUACUGACCAUCUGAACAGUUAUCAGCUCUAAAUAUUUUUAUUCCACCUAAUCUCACCCUUUUAUCAGAUUAACACAGAUUUGCUCUGAUUCUUCGUGAUCGCCGGG
rnacentral:lncRNA from 1 species